rnacentral:rRNA from 1 species
GACGAACGCUGGCGGCGUGCUUAACACAUGCAAGUCGAACGGAAAGGCCCUGCUUUUGUGGGGUGCUCGAGUGGCGAACGGGUGAGUAACACGUGAGUAACCUGCCCUUGACUUUGGGAUAACUUCAGGAAACUGGGGCUAAUACCGGAUAGGAGCUCCUGCUGCAUGGUGGGGGUUGGAAAGUUUCGGCGGUUGGGGAUGGACUCGCGGCUUAUCAGCUUGUUGGUGGGGUAGUGGCUUACCAAGGCUUUGACGGGUAGCCGGCCUGAGAGGGUGACCGGCCACAUUGGGACUGAGAUACGGCCCAGACUCCUACGGGAGGCAGCAGUGGGGAAUAUUGCACAAUGGGCGGAAGCCUGAUGCAGCAACGUCGCGUGCGGGAUGACGGCCUUCGGGUUGUAAACCGCUUUCGCCUGUGACGAAGCGUGAGUGACGGUAAUGGGUAAAGAAGCACCGGCUAACUACGUGCCAGCAGCCGCGGUGAUACGUAGGGUGCGAGCGUUGUCCGGAUUUAUUGGGCGUAAAGGGCUCGUAGGUGGUUGAUCGCGUCGGAAGUGUAAUCUUGGGGCUUAACCCUGAGCGUGCUUUCGAUACGGGUUGACUUGAGGAAGGUAGGGGAGAAUGGAAUUCCUGGUGGAGCGGUGGAAUGCGCAGAUAUCAGGAGGAACACCAGUGGCGAAGGCGGUUCUCUGGGCCUUUCCUGACGCUGAGGAGCGAAAGCGUGGGGAGCGAACAGGCUUAGAUACCCUGGUAGUCCACGCUGUAAACGGUGGGUACUAGGUGUGGGGUCCAUUCCACGGGUUCCGUGCCGUAGCUAACGCUUUAAGUACCCCGCCUGGGGAGUACGGCCGCAAGGCUAAAACUCAAAGGAAUUGACGGGGCCCCGCACAAGCAGCGGAGCAUGCGGAUUAAUUCGAUGCAACGCGUAGAACCUUACCUGGGUUUGACAUGGAUCGGGAGUGCUCAGAGAUGGGUGUGCCUCUUUUGGGGUCGGUUCACAGGUGGUGCAUGGCUGUCGUCAGCUCGUGUCGUGAGAUGUUGGGUUAAGUCCCGCAACGAGCGCAACCCUUGUUCACUGUUGCCAGCACGUUAUGGUGGGGACUCAGUGGAGACCGCCGGGGUCAACUCGGAGGAAGGUGGGGAUGACGUCAAGUCAUCAUGCCCCUUAUGUCCAGGGCUUCACGCAUGCUACAAUGGCUGGUACAGAGAGUGGCGAGCCUGUGAGGGUGAGCGAAUCUCGGAAAGCCGGUCUCAGUUCGGAUUGGGGUCUGCAACUCGACCUCAUGAAGUCGGAGUCGCUAGUAAUCGCAGAUCAGCAACGCUGCGGUGAAUACGUUCCCGGG